rnacentral:rRNA from 1 species
CAAUAGCGUAUAUUAAAGUUGUUGCAGUUAAAAAGCUCGUAGUUGGAUUUCUGGUGGGAGCGAUCGGUCUGGCGCUUAGCGCGAGUACUUGCAUCGUCUCCGGCCAUCCUUGGGGAAAGUCUGUCUGGCAUUAAGUUGUCGGGCAGAGGAUCCUCAUCGUUUACUGUGAAAAAAUUAGAGUGUUCAAAGCAGGCUUAUGCCGUUGAAUAUAUUAGCAUGGAAUAAUAAGAUAGGACUUUGGUACUAUUUUGUUGGUUGGCGCACCAAAGUAAUGAUUAAUAGGGACAGUUGGGGGUAUUCGUAUUCCGUUGUCAGAGGUGAAAUUCUUGGAUUUACGGAAGACGAACUACUGCGAAAGCAUUUACCAAGGAUGUUUUCAUUAA